UACGGGAGGCAGCAGUGGGGAAUAUUGCACAAUGGGCGCAAGCCUGAUGCAGCCAUGCCGCGUGUAUGAAGAAGGCCUUCGGGUUGUAAAGUACUUUCAGCGGGGAGGAAGGCGGUGAAGUUAAUAGCUUCACCGAUUGACGUUACCCGCAGAAGAAGCACCGGCUAACUCCGUGCCAGCAGCCGCGGUAAUACGGAGGGUGCAAGCGUUAAUCGGAAUUACUGGGCGUAAAGCGCACGCAGGCGGUCUGUCAAGUCGGAUGUGAAAUCCCCGGGCUUAACCUGGGAACUGCAUUCGAAACUGGCAGGCUAGAGUCUUGUAGAGGGGGUAGAAUUCCAGGUGUAGCGGUGAAAUGCGUAGAGAUCUGGAGGAAUACCGGUGGCGAAGGCGGCCCCUGGGACAAAGCUGACGCUCAGGUGCGAAAGCGUGGGGAGCAAACGAGGAUUAGGAUACC
rnacentral:rRNA from 1 species